rnacentral:rRNA from 1 species
UGCAGUCGAGCGGUAGCACAGAGAGCUUGCUCUCGGGUGACGAGCGGCGGACGGGUGAGUAAUGUCUGGGAAACUGCCUGAUGGAGGGGGAUAACUACUGGAAACGGUAGCUAAUACCGCAUAAUGUCGCAAGACCAAAGUGGGGGACCUUCGGGCCUCAUGCCAUCAGAUGUGCCCAGAUGGGAUUAGCUAGUAGGUGGGGUAACGGCUCACCUAGGCGACGAUCCCUAGCUGGUCUGAGAGGAUGACCAGCCACACUGGAACUGAGACACGGUCCAGACUCCUACGGGAGGCAGCAGUGGGGAAUAUUGCACAAUGGGCGCAAGCCUGAUGCAGCCAUGCCGCGUGUGUGAAGAAGGCCUUCGGGUUGUAAAGCACUUUCAGCGGGGAGGAAGGCGUUAAGGUUAAUAACCUUGGCGAUUGACGUUACCCGCAGAAGAAGCACCGGCUAACUCCGUGCCAGCAGCCGCGGUAAUACGGAGGGUGCAAGCGUUAAUCGGAAUUACUGGGCGUAAAGCGCACGCAGGCGGUCUGUCAAGUCGGAUGUGAAAUCCCCGGGCUCAACCUGGGAACUGCAUUCGAAACUGGCAGGCUAGAGUCUUGUAGAGGGGGGUAGAAUUCCAGGUGUAGCGGUGAAAUGCGUAGAGAUCUGGAGGAAUACCGGUGGCGAAGGCGGCCCCCUGGACAAAGACUGACGCUCAGGUGCGAAAGCGUGGGGAGCAAACAGGAUUAGAUACCCUGGUAGUCCACGCCGUAAACGAUGUCGAUUUGGAGGUUGUGCCCUUGAGGCGUGGCUUCCGGAGCUAACGCGUUAAAUCGACCGCCUGGGGAGUACGGCCGCAAGGUUAAAACUCAAAUGAAUUGACGGGGGCCCGCACAAGCGGUGGAGCAUGUGGUUUAAUUCGAUGCAACGCGAAGAACCUUACCUGGUCUUGACUUCCACAGAACUUUCCAAAGAUGGAUUGGUGCCUUCGGGAACUGUGAAACAGGUGCUGCAUGGCUGUCGUCAGCUCGUGUUGUGAAAUGUUGGGUUAAUCCCGCAACGAGCGCACCC